AUUGAACGCUGGCGGCAGGCCUAACACAUGCAAGUCGAGCGGAUGACGGGAGCUUGCUCCUUGAUUCAGCGGCGGACGGGUGAGUAAUGCCUAGGAAUCUGCCUGGUAGUGGGGGACAACGUUUCGAAAGGAACGCUAAUACCGCAUACGUCCUACGGGAGAAAGCAGGGGACCUUCGGGCCUUGCGCUAUCAGAUGAGCCUAGGUCGGAUUAGCUAGUUGGUGGGGUAAUGGCUCACCAAGGCGACGAUCCGUAACUGGUCUGAGAGGAUGAUCAGUCACACUGGAACUGAGACACGGUCCAGACUCCUACGGGAGGCAGCAGUGGGGAAUAUUGGACAAUGGGCGAAAGCCUGAUCCAGCCAUGCCGCGUGUGUGAAGAAGGUCUUCGGAUUGUAAAGCACUUUAAGUUGGGAGGAAGGGCAGUAAGUUAAUACCUUGCUGUUUUGACGUUACCGACAGAAUAAGCACCGGCUAACUCUGUGCCAGCCGCCGCCGUAACAC
rnacentral:rRNA from 1 species